GGCCUCUCGGCCGCUGCCGCCGCCAUCUUGGGGGUUCCGGUGCCAUCCGCCGCCAUCCGCCGCCAUCCGCCGGCCCCGCCCGCCGGGACUGAGCGCGGGGUCCCCCCCCCGCCAUGAGGGCCAAGUGGCGCAAGAAGCGCAUGCGCAGGCUGAAGCGCAAGCGGAGGAAGAUGAGGCAGAGAUCCAAGUAACGGCAGCCGGGACCGAGCCCGGGGCCCCGGGAGCGCUCGGGGCCUGGCGGCUGCCGUCGUGCUGUGAAUAAAGCUGAUGGUGACAGCGAA